UCCGGCUCCCGCUAUUGGAUGGAGCCUAUGUCGGAUUAGCUAGUUGGUGAGGUAAAGGCUCACCAAGGCGACGAUCCGUAGGCUGGUACUGCAGACGGAUGAUCAGCCACAUCGGGACUGAGACACGGCCCGAACUCAUACGGGAGGCAGCAGUGGGGAAUAUUGGACAAUGGGCGCAAGCCUGAUCCAGCAUCACACUCUAUGUGAAGAAGGCCUUCGGGUUGUAAAGCACUUUCAGCGAGGAAGAACGCCUAGCGUUUAAUACCCGCUAGGAAAGACAUCAAUCGCAGAAGAAGCACCGGCUAACUCCGUGCCAGCAGCCGCGGUAAUACGGAGGGUGCAAGCGUUAAUCGGAAUUACUGGGCGUAAAGCGCGCGUAGGUGGCUUGAUAAGCCGGUUGUGAAAGCCCCGGGCUCAACCUGGGAACGGCAUCCGGAACUGUCAAGCUAGAGUGCAGGAGAGGAAGGUAGAAUUCCCGGUGUAGCGGUGAAAUGCGUAGAGAUCGGGAGGAAUACCAGUGGCGAAGGCGGCCUUCUGGACUGACACUGACACUGAGGUGCGAAAGCGUGGGUAGCAAACAGGAUUAGAUACCCUGGUAGUCCACGCCGUAAACGAUGUCGACCAGCCGUUGGGUGCCUAGCGCACUUUGUGGCGAAGUUAACGCGAUAAGUCGACCGCCUGGGGAGUACGGCCGCAAGGUUAAAACUCAAAUGAAUUGACGGGGGCCCGCACAAGCGGUGGAGCAUGUGGUUUAAUUCGAUGCAACGCGAAGAACCUUACCUACUCUUGACAUCCUGCGAACUUGUGAGAGAUCACUUGGUGCCUUCGGGAACGCAGAGACAGGUGCUGCAUGGCUGUCGUCAGCUCGUGUUGUGAAAUGUUGGGUUAAGUCCCGUAACGAGCGCAACCCUUGUCCUUAUUUGCCAGCACGUAAUGGUGGGAACUCUAAGGAGACUGCCGGUGACAAACCGGAGGAAGGUGGGGACGACGUCAAGUCAUCAUGGCCCUUACGAGUAGGGCUACACACGUGCUACAAUGGCCGGUACAAAGGGUUGCCAACUCGCGAGAGUGAGCUAAUCCCGAAAAGCCGGUCUCAGUCCGGAUCGGAGUCUGCAACUCGACUCCGUGAAGUCGGAAUCGCUAGUAAUCGUGAAUCAGAAUGUCACGGUGAAUACGUUCCCGGGCCUUGUACA
rnacentral:rRNA from 1 species